AGUACCCAGAGCACAAUACACUGGAGAAGGCCGCAGGGACCUCUGCCUAGGAAAGCCAGGUACUGUCCAAGGUUUCUCCCAUGUGAUAGUCUGAAAUAUGGCCUCGUGGGAAGGGAAAGACCUGACCAUCCUCCAGCCCGACCCCCAUAAAGGGUCCCUGCUGAGGAGGAUUAGUAAAAGAGGAAGGAAGGCCUCUUUGCAGUUGAGAUAAGAGGAAGGCAUCUGUCUCCUGCUCCUCCCUGGGCAAUGGAAUGUCUCCCUGUAAAGCCCGAUUGUAUAUUCCAUCUACUGAGAUAGGGGAAAACUGCCUUAGGGGUGGAGGUGGGAAAUGCUGGCAGCAAUACUGCUGUUUAAGGCAUUGAGAUGUUUAUGUAUAUGCACAUCAAAAGCACAGCACUUUUUAUCUUGUUUAUGAUGCAGAGACAUUUGUUCACAUGUUUUCCUGCUGACCUUCUCUCCACUAUUACCCUAUUGUCCUGCCACAUCCCCUCUCCGAGAAACACCCGAUAAUGAUCAAUAAAUACUAAGGGAACUCAGAGGCCAGUGCCGGCGCGGGACCUCCGUAUGCGAACGCCGGUCCCCUGGGCCCAUUUUUCUUUCUCUAUACUUUGUCUCUGUGUCUCUUUCUUUUCCAAGUCUCUCGUUCCACCUGAUGAGAAACGCCCACAGGUGUGGAGGGGCAACCCACCCCUUCACUAACCAGCCAAGUAAAUAAUGAAACAUAAAUUAUGACUCAGCUUUUGCUUCACUGUAAAAAUCCUGCAUUUAUGGAAACUGGAAGCAAAGCUAACCUAAGCGUGCCAUCUAGUGGAAUGAUCCAGCAUGACCACAACAGGUUGUUCGCUCUCCCUGGAUUUUUCUUAAAAUGAUGAAAAUAAAUUGGAGGGAGUCAGCCAUGCAGAAAUGGGAUGCUCUAGCUAAUACUUGGCAAUUAAAGAAAGAAGUUUAAGCCUAGAAGUAAAGAUGGGAGGGAAUGCUAAUCAUUGUCUCCUUUCUCCCCCACAGAAAAACUCACUACCCAGCCCACAGGCAGAGAAGGGAGUGGAGGCGGCCAGCGGUGUGUCUCAGAAGAGCUGUAAAUACUGUGCUGACACAGGGUGAGAAGGACCUUCCCACUGUGCUCACAUUCCAG
rnacentral:lncRNA from 1 species